rnacentral:lncRNA from 1 species
CUGGAAUAAGAAGAAGAAUUCACUUUCUUAAUUUUAUUGCUUUACUGUUGGUGUUUCUUUUUAGUGUUGAUUCCGUAACGAAUAGCAUUUAACUUUUUUUAGUCACAUGUCUCUUUAUCAUCUGCUGCAAUUUAAUUAGUUUACACAUCUUGCUUUGGGACUGUUCAAUUUACUGUUUUCGUUCAUUAUGUUGUCUGUUCUGUUAGAUUGGGAUAAUU